rnacentral:rRNA from 1 species
AGCGAACGCUGGCGGCAGGCCUAAUACAUGCAAGUCGAACGCGUGUAGCAAUACACGAGUGGCAGACGGGUGAGUAACACGUGGGAACGUACCCUUCGGUUCGGAAUAACUCAGGGAAACUUGAGCUAAUACCGGAUACGCCCUUACGGGGAAAGAUUAUCGCCGAUGGAUCGGCCCGCGUCUGAUUAGCUAGUUGGUGAGGUAACGGCUCACCAAGGCGACGAUCAGUAGCUGGCUGAGAGGACGGCCAGCCACAUCGGGACUGAGACACUGCCC